CUUAAAGAUUGGAGACAAUGUCUCUGAUAACACAUCGAAAUCUUUAUUUAAAAAAAGUUUUCUUUUCAGUCAUGCCUGUUGCUAUAAAUAUUUAACCUAUGAACGUAAAUAAAAUGCAAUGAAGCUUUACUAACUGACUAUUCGACCAUCCUGACCUGUCCUUAAUCGGUUGCACAUUAUCAUUGUUUUUUCAGGUGAUGUGUUGUUGUGUGCAACAGCAGUAUACAACAGGAACGUCUUGGUUGGUCCAAUGUCACGGAUGAACAGAGAGAGAGAGAGAGACCUGAUACUAUGCAAGCUUUCUCACACACACACACACACACACACACACACACACACGCACACACACGCACAGGCACUAAUCAGGUCCAGCUGUGUGUCAGUGUGUGUUAUGUGGAGUUCAAGUUGGAGAGUGUGUGACCAUAUGGCAUAAAGCGUCCAAUUCUUACCUCACCCCCCACCUUUCGUCAUGGGACUAGGCAGGAAAGACUCAACGACCAGCCAGAGUCGAACAGCAGAUAUCUCCAUCGCUCAGGGUUGGAUGGUUCGUGGGAUACGUGUGCAGGUAAACACAGACACACACACUCCAAAGCUUUAUAUUACAUAUAUGUCCACCGCUGGUCGAGACCCCGCUGUUCCUGGAGGUAAUGUUUAUACCUCCGUAACACGAUCAACACGGAAGCUUUAGGUACACCAUAACCUAUAUGUGCGAAAACAAGCUCCGUAUUAGCAGAACGAGCGGGCAGGAGUCUCAUAUCUGUAGAGAGGAAGAGAGGUCAGAGGUCAUGCUCGGGGGGGCCGAGAGCUGGUUUCAUGUUUCAGGUGAGUGUACAGACAACAGACAGACAACGCUACACACAUGAUACGACUGAAUGCCAGGCUGUGGAGGCCAGAUAAAGACGGUAGUGUGAACGGGAGAGAGAGGGUUGACUGUGGCGAGGUCUCCGCAUGAUAUGAGAUCUGCGUCUCGUGGAAGUGACAUGGACGCUCUAUAUUCGGGAGCUGAAGCACGACUGCUGACCCCUAGAUCCACUCCACCACCUGCUCACACACACACCGGGCUUGUGUGUCUUUGGAAACAGGGCACAAAAGUUGGGUUUUUGAUGUAAAAUCUCCCUCUAUUUCGCUCUAUUCCUAUUAUAAUGUGUAAACUUUUCGUGACAGAUGUCUUUUGAGCAUCUAAGAUUAAGGGAUGAAGAUACCGCUGUAGAAAAUCCCACGAAGCAUUGCAAAUGCCACAAUUGUCAAUGUCAGUCUUAUGCCAUUUUUCAUCUGCUCAUAUAUAUAUAUAUAUAUAUAUAUAUAUAUUUACACACACACACACACACACUAUAUUCUGCAAGGAUGCAUUAAAUUGAUCAAAAGUGACAGUAAAGACAGAUUUCUAUUUCAAAUAAAUGCUGUUCUUUGAACUUUCUAUGCAAAGAAUCCUAAAAAUAAUUGAUCACAGGUUGCACAAAAAUAUAGCAUAUUAGAAUGAUUUCUGAAGGAUCAUGUGACUGAAGACUGGAGUAAUUAUGCAGAAUAUUAUUCUUUGCAUCACAGGAAUAAAUUACACUCAAAUAUAUUAAAUAAAUUCUCUAUAUAUGUAUACACUAUACAUAUUGUAUAGUUUAUUGUAAAUUAUGCAGUAGUUUUACAUCGAACUGUUUGAAUCAGUUACAUUAUUUACACUUCAAGGGAUGCAAAUAACUUGCAUAUAAAAUAGGUACACAAAAGUGCAGUCUUGUAUCUUUGUUGUAAUAUUCAUAUCAUACUAGCAUACUACUCUUACUAUGACUUUUUAUCAUCUUUAUAUGGCACAAAAUAGUAACAGCAGUAUGCUAAUAUGCUGUUGAAAUUUUAGCCAACGUCCCAAAACUUUAUUUGCGAUGUGUUUGCUGCUUGCAACACAUUCAUAUUUUAAAUGAGAAAUUCUUUUUUUGGUAUUAUUAUGGUAGGUGCUGCAUCUAACUAGCAGGGUCCACUCAUUCUUUCAAGAAGUGUGCUCAAAUUUUACACUGAACACCUGUGGGUGGCUUCAGAUCUUUCAGUGAUACUCACAUUUUUGUUUGAAGCAUUUAACAGCAAGUAAAUACAAUAUCAUAUGAUCUCAAUUCUUUUUUUCCACACAGUCUACAGUCAGACUCCUCUCUAAAUGACAUGUAAAGAAAAAACUAAUUUGACACAUUUACAUAUCUUUAAACAGUCUAUUCUGUCUUAAUGAGCUGAGCGAUAUCCACACACAUGCAUGCUUCAGUUCCUCGUUCUUUUCCUUCUUGGUCUCUGCUCCAUUCUUCUGUCUUUCUUUUCUUUCAGGUGGGAUAUUAUUUGUUUUCAGAGGCAGUCAACGUUUUCACAGUGCUCUGACUGACUGAUCCUAAGCCAGAGGUCAAAGGUCAUGUUCAGAGGUCCUGACCUCCAGUGGAAUGCCUGUGUGGAGGUUGUUAUCAGGAUCCAAUUGCGAUUUUUUUUUUUUUCUGAGACGUGCAGGUGUAAAAACAGUUGUAACGGUUUUAUGUCCAGACUGAAACAUUUUGUGGGUAUAUUUAUGUCAUUAUGUGAUUUACUUAAUUUAUUUUGUGAAUUGGGUGCCUCAAUGACAUUAUAAGUGGCUACAAUUAAUUCUUAGUGAAUCCCCCAUUGUUACUCACCUGUUUUAAUGUUAUUAAACAUGCUUAUUUACCCUAAUUUUACAUUAAGAUCCUUUGCCACCAGUAAUGUAAUAAAAAAAGUUAAAUGCAUAAAAUAAUGUGUAAUGAAUAUCAGUUUUUAAUUAAAAUUGUUUUGUUAGUAUUUAAUUUAUUUAUUUAUCUGAUAUAAAAUGUAUCAGCUAUUUAUUAAGUUUAUUGUCCAUUUAUCACUUUUCUAAAGUGGGCCAGUACGCACCAGUACUCAGUACCGCCACUUCCAAAUAUAGCUCUUGAGCGUACCACCACCUCUCAGUGCGCCCAGAACUUGCUUUUAGCGUACCGGUACGUUCAUUUGGACAUCUGUUUUAAUAGAGGUUUUAAUCAUUUGCCUUCACUGCCGCUUUUCUUCACAAUGCACGCUUCCUAAUUCUUCCUAUAGUUCGGAGUAUGGAGCGUGAAUCAUUUGAACCAGUUUAGGAGUUCGGAGCGGGAUCGCGAAUCAUUUGAGUCAGUUCGGGAGUUCGGAGCAGCUUCGCGGAUCAUUUGAAUCAAUUUGAGAGUACGGAGUGGGUUAGCGAAUCAUUUGAGUCAGUUUGGGAGUUCGUAGCGGGAUCGCGAAUCAUUUGAAUCAGUUCGGGAGUUCGGAGCGGCUUCGCGGAUCAUUUGAAUCAAUUUGAGAGUUCGUAUAGGGUUCGCGAAUCAUUUGAAUCAGUUCGGGAGUUCGUAGCGGGUUUGCAAAUCAUUUGAGUUAGUUCGGGAGUUCAAAGCGGGCUCGCGAAUCAUUUGAGUCAGUUCGGGAGUUCAAAGCGGGUUCACGAAUCAUUUGAGUCAGUUUGGGGAUCGCGAAUCAUUUGAAUCGGUUGGGGAGUUCGGAGUGGGAUCGCGAAUCAUUUGAGUCAGUUCGGGAGUUCAAGGCGGAUUCGCGAAUCAUUUGAGUCAGUUUGGGGAUCGAAUUUACAUUUACAUUUACAUUUAAUCAUUUAGCAGACGCUUUUAUCCAAAGCGACUUACAAAUGAGAAUAGAAGCAGUCAGGUCAACAAGAGAACAACAACAGAAUACAAGUGCCAUGACAAGUCUCAGUUAGUCUAGUAUAGAACGCAUAGCCAGGUGUAUAUAAUUUUUUUUUUUUUUUUUUUUUUUUUUUUUUUUUUAUUAAAUGAAAAAGACAAGAAAAGGAAAAGUACUGGUGUUAGUAGGUUAAGUGCAGGCGAAAAAGAUGAGUCUUUAGAUGUUUCUUGAAAGUGAGUAAAUUAUUUGAAUCAGUUCGGGAGUUCGGAGCUGGUUCGCGAAUCAUUUGAGUCAGUUUGGAAGUUUGAAUGCAGUAAUGCAGUAGCGCUUUCUAAGGGUAUUUUUUCAAAAUCAUUUUGCACAUUUUAUUUAUGUUCAGUAGUUUUUCUAGCUCAAGCAAAUCCACAAACUAAUACAUUUAUUUAUUAAUAAGGUUGUCUGUUGACUGCUGUAUAUAAAAACCCUUCAAUAUAGUUGUUGUUACCUCAGGGGAUGAGGGGAGUCAUCAAAAAAAAAGAAAAAAAAAAGAAAAUAUAUAUAUUUUUGGCUAUAGUAGAGUACCGGCACCUCUUUUAGGCCACUCUUUUGGGCCACUUAAAGCACUGGUUCUCAGAAUUUCCAGAUAUAAAGUCGUAAUUCUGAGAAGACUAGAUAGAAAACUCAAACUGUAAGAUACUCACUAUUGUGAUGGGAAAAAAAAUGACAAAACUGAGAUAUAGUCACAAUUACUUCUUUUUAUUUUUUAUGCCAUGCUAAGAAAAAACUAAAACAUAAAAAACAGAAUUGUG
rnacentral:lncRNA from 1 species